UUAAGCGACUAAGCGUACACGGUGGAUGCCCUGGCAGUCAGAGGCGAUGAAGGACGUGCUAAUCUGCGAUAAGCGUCGGUGAGGUGAUAUGAACCGUUAUAACCGGCGAUUUCCGAAUGGGGAAACCCAGUGUGUUUCGACACACUAUCAUUAACUGAAUCCAUAGGUUAAUGAGGCGAACCGGGGGAACUGAAACAUCUAAGUACCCCGAGGAAAAGAAAUCAACCGAGAUUCCCCCAGUAGCGGCGAGCGAACGGGGAGGAGCCCAGAGCCUGAAUCAGUGUGUGUGUUAGUGGAAGCGUCUGGAAAGGCGCGCGAUACAGGGUGACAGCCCCGUACACAAAAAUGCACAUAUUGUGAGCUCGAUGAGUAGGGCGGGACACGUGGUAUCCUGUCUGAAUAUGGGGGGACCAUCCUCCAAGGCUAAAUACUCCUGACUGACCGAUAGUGAACCAGUACCGUGAGGGAAAGGCGAAAAGAACCCCGGCGAGGGGAGUGAAAAAGAACCUGAAACCGUGUACGUACAAGCAGUGGGAGCCUCUUUAUGGGGUGACUGCGUACCUUUUGUAUAAUGGGUCAGCGACUUAUAUUCUGUAGCAAGGUUAACCGAAUAGGGGAGCCGAAGGGAAACCGAGUCUUAACUGGGCGUUAAGUUGCAGGGUAUAGACCCGAAACCCGGUGAUCUAGCCAUGGGCAGGUUGAAGGUUGGGUAACACUAACUGGAGGACCGAACCGACUAAUGUUGAAAAAUUAGCGGAUGACUUGUGGCUGGGGGUGAAAGGCCAAUCAAACCGGGAGAUAGCUGGUUCUCCCCGAAAGCUAUUUAGGUAGCGCCUCGUGAAUUCAUCUCCGGGGGUAGAGCACUGUUUCGGCAAGGGGGUCAUCCCGACUUACCAACCCGAUGCAAACUGCGAAUACCGGAGAAUGUUAUCACGGGAGACACACGGCGGGUGCUAACGUCCGUCGUGAAGAGGGAAACAACCCAGACCGCCAGCUAAGGUCCCAAAGUCAUGGUUAAGUGGGAAACGAUGUGGGAAGGCCCAGACAGCCAGGAUGUUGGCUUAGAAGCAGCCAUCAUUUAAAGAAAGCGUAAUAGCUCACUGGUCGAGUCGGCCUGCGCGGAAGAUGUAACGGGGCUAAACCAUGCACCGAAGCUGCGGCAGCGACACUAUGUGUUGUUGGGUAGGGGAGCGUUCUGUAAGCCUGUGAAGGUGGCCUGUGAGGGUUGCUGGAGGUAUCAGAAGUGCGAAUGCUGACAUAAGUAACGAUAAAGCGGGUGAAAAGCCCGCUCGCCGGAAGACCAAGGGUUCCUGUCCAACGUUAAUCGGGGCAGGGUGAGUCGACCCCUAAGGCGAGGCCGAAAGGCGUAGUCGAUGGGAAACAGGUUAAUAUUCCUGUACUUGGUGUUACUGCGAAGGGGGGACGGAGAAGGCUAUGUUGGCCGGGCGACGGUUGUCCCGGUUUAAGCGUGUAGGCUGGUUUUCCAGGCAAAUCCGGAAAACCAAGGCUGAGGCGUGAUGACGAGGCACUACGGUGCUGAAGCGACAAAUGCCCUGCUUCCAGGAAAAGCCUCUAAGCAUCAGGUAACAUCAAAUCGUACCCCAAACCGACACAGGUGGUCAGGUAGAGAAUACCAAGGCGCUUGAGAGAACUCGGGUGAAGGAACUAGGCAAAAUGGUGCCGUAACUUCGGGAGAAGGCACGCUGAUAUGUAGGUGAAGCGACUUGCUCGUGGAGCUGAAAUCAGUCGAAGAUACCAGCUGGCUGCAACUGUUUAUUAAAAACACAGCACUGUGCAAACACGAAAGUGGACGUAUACGGUGUGACGCCUGCCCGGUGCCGGAAGGUUAAUUGAUGGGGUUAGCGGUAACGCGAAGCUCUUGAUCGAAGCCCCGGUAAACGGCGGCCGUAACUAUAACGGUCCUAAGGUAGCGAAAUUCCUUGUCGGGUAAGUUCCGACCUGCACGAAUGGCGUAAUGAUGGCCAGGCUGUCUCCACCCGAGACUCAGUGAAAUUGAACUCGCUGUGAAGAUGCAGUGUACCCGCGGCAAGACGGAAAGACCCCGUGAACCUUUACUAUAGCUUGACACUGAACAUUGAGCCUUGAUGUGUAGGAUAGGUGGGAGGCUUUGAAGUGUGGACGCCAGUCUGCAUGGAGCCGACCUUGAAAUACCACCCUUUAAUGUUUGAUGUUCUAACGUUGGCCCGUAAUCCGGGUUGCGGACAGUGUCUGGUGGGUAGUUUGACUGGGGCGGUCUCCUCCUAAAGAGUAACGGAGGAGCACGAAGGUUGGCUAAUCCUGGUCGGACAUCAGGAGGUUAGUGCAAUGGCAUAAGCCAGCUUGACUGCGAGCGUGACGGCGCGAGCAGGUGCGAAAGCAGGUCAUAGUGAUCCGGUGGUUCUGAAUGGAAGGGCCAUCGCUCAACGGAUAAAAGGUACUCCGGGGAUAACAGGCUGAUACCGCCCAAGAGUUCAUAUCGACGGCGGUGUUUGGCACCUCGAUGUCGGCUCAUCACAUCCUGGGGCUGAAGUAGGUCCCAAGGGUAUGGCUGUUCGCCAUUUAAAGUGGUACGCGAGCUGGGUUUAGAACGUCGUGAGACAGUUCGGUCCCUAUCUGCCGUGGGCGCUGGAGAACUGAGGGGGGCUGCUCCUAGUACGAGAGGACCGGAGUGGACGCAUCACUGGUGUUCGGGUUGUCAUGCCAAUGGCACUGCCCGGUAGCUAAAUGCGGAAGAGAUAAGUGCUGAAAGCAUCUAAGCACGAAACUUGCCCCGAGAUGAGUUCUCCCUGACUCCUUGAGAGUCCUGAAGGAACGUUGAAGACGACGACGUUGAUAGGCCGGGUGUGUAAGCGCAGCGAUGCGUUGAGCUAACCGGUACUAAUGAACCGUGAGGCUUAACCU
rnacentral:rRNA from 1 species